rnacentral:rRNA from 1 species
UACGUAGGUGGCAAGCGUUAUCCGGAUUUACUGGGUGUAAAGGGCGAGUAGGCGGGAUUGCAAGUCAGAUGUGAAAACUAUGGGCUCAACCCAUAGACUGCAUUUGAAACUGCAGUUCUUGAGUGAUGGAGAGGCAGGCGGAAUUCCCGGUGUAGCGGUGGAAUGCGUAGAUAUCGGGAGGAACACCAGUGGCGAAGGCGGCCUGCUGGACAUUAACUGACGCUGAGGCGCGAAAGCGUGGGGAGCAA